UACGGAGGGUGCGAGCGUUGUUCGGAUUUAUUGGGCGUAAAGCGCGUGUAGGCGGUUUUAUAAGUCUGAUGUGAAAGCCCCGGGCUCAACCUGGGAAGUGCAUUGGAUACUGUAAGACUUGAAUACGGGAGAGGGCAGUGGAAUUCCUGGUGUAGGAGUGAAAUCCGUAGAUAUCAGGAGGAACACCGGUGGCGAAGGCGGCUGCCUGGACCGAUAUUGACGCUGAGACGCGAAAGCGUGGGUAGCAAAC
rnacentral:rRNA from 1 species